UACGGAGGGUCCAAGCGUUAUCCGGAAUCAUUGGGUUUAAAGGGUCCGUAGGCGGUCUUAUAAGUCAGUGGUGAAAUCUCCUAGCUCAACUAGGAAACUGCCAUUGAUACUGUAAGACUUGAAUUUUUGUGAAGUAACUAGAAUAUGUAGUGUAGCGGUGAAAUGCUUAGAUAUUACAUGGAAUACCAAUUGCGAAGGCAGGUUACUAACAAACGAUUGACGCUGAUGGACGAAAGCGUGGGGAGCGAACAGG
rnacentral:rRNA from 1 species